GGCCUCUUGUUUAUAUAUGAGGUCAGGCCUGCCCAGUGAUAAUAUAUUUAACGGCCGCGGUAUUUUGACCGUGCAAAGGUAGCAUAAUAAUUAGUCUUUUAAUAGGAGGCUGGUAUGAAGGGUUUAACGAGUUGUUGACUGUCUCACUCGAUUUGAUAUUAAAAUUUAACUUUUCAGUCAAAAGGCUGAAAUUUUUUUGGAAGACGAGAAGACCCUAUAGAUCUUUAUAAUUGAAGGUUUUAUUUAAAUCUUUGUUUAAUCAUAUUUAUUUAUUUCUUUAUUUAUUUUGUUGGGGUGACAAAAAUAUAUAAUUAACUUUUUUAUUUAUUUAACAUUGAUUAAUGAUUUUUAGAUCCAUUCUUAUUGAUUGUUAGAUUAAGUUACC
rnacentral:rRNA from 1 species